AUUGAACGCUGGCGGCAUGCCUUACACAUGCAAGUCGAACGGUAACAGGUCUUCGGAUGCUGACGAGUGGCGAACGGGUGAGUAAUACAUCGGAACGUGCCUAGUAGUGGGGGAUAACUACUCGAAAGAGUGGCUAAUACCGCAUGAGAUCUACGGAUGAAAGCAGGGGAUCGAAAGACCUUGUGCUACUAGAGCGGCCGAUGGCAGAUUAGGUAGUUGGAGGGAUAAAAGCUUACCAAGCCGACGAUCUGUAGCUGGUCUGAGAGGACGAUCAGCCACACUGGGACUGAGACACGGCACAGACUCCUACGGGAGGCAGCAGUGGGGAAUUUUGGCCAAUGGGCGAAAGCCUGAUCCAGCAAUGCCGCGUGCAGGAUGAAGGCCUUCGGGUUGUAAACUGCUUUUGUACGGAACGAAAAGCCCUGGGUUAAUACCCUGGGGUCAUGACGGUACCGUAAGAAUAAGCACCGGCUAACUACGUGCCAGCCGCCGCAGUAACAC
rnacentral:rRNA from 1 species